AUUGAAAUGGAUACAUACAACAAGGUUGAGAAAUUGCUUUCUUCAUCCUUGAAUGACUGGGGAUCAGCAUUAGCAACUUUGGACACUCUAGAUCCUGUUUGGGCACAAAUUUUAGGAGAUCCAUUCCUGAGGCGACUUUUAUUGAGAUUCUUAUUUUGUCGAGCAGUGUUGACACUGUAUGGACCGUGUUUUGGCAAGAAGGAAUAUCACCCUGAGUGUGUGCCUUCCCUUCCAGCAUCCCUCCAGCCAACUGCCACUGCAUCACAAACUGUGGUUCUGCAGAAUAGCCAAUAUUUUUGGUGCAACAAAGAAAUUUAUUUUCUCUGAGGGAAUUGUUCUUCCUGAUUAUGAACGCAGUGAGCUGGAGAUGACCUCAGCCUGAUGAAGCAUGUUUACAUUUUGGAGAAUUAGGAUUUGAAAAAUGCAAAGUUUGUGAAAUGCAUUCUCGUUUUGAUUGGGUUUUGGGUUUUAUGCAUCUUCACCAAUGAAUCCCACGGAAAUUCUGGAGGACAAAAUUUUGGUUUUAUUGUUGCUUUUCCUAUUAUUUAUUUAUUUAUUUAUAUUGGACUAUUUAAAAAAAGGAAAAAAAUGCACGGG
rnacentral:misc_RNA from 1 species